rnacentral:rRNA from 1 species
AACGAACGCUGGCGGCAGGCCUAACACAUGCAAGUCGAACGCCCCGCAAGGGGAGUGGCAGACGGGUGAGUAACGCGUGGGAACCUUCCCUGUGGUACGGAAUAACUGACCGAAAGGUUGGCUAAUACCGUAUACGUCCGAGAGGAGAAAGAUUUAUCGCCAUAGGAUGGGCCCGCGUCGGAUUAGCUAGGUGGUGGGGUAAGGGCACACCAAGGCGACGAUCCGUAGCUGGUCGGAGAGGAUGAUCAGCCACACUGGGACUGAGACACGGCCCAGACUCCUAAGGGAGGCAGCAGUGGGGAAGAUUGGAGAAUGGGCGCAAGCCUUAUCGAGCCAUGCCGCGUGAGUGAUGAAGGUCUUCGGAUUGUAAAACUCUUUCGCCGGGGAAGAUAAUGACGGUACCCGGAGAAGAAGCUCCGGCUAACUUCGUGCCAGCCGCCGCCGUAA